GCCCACGUAGCUCAGGAGGUAGAGCACUUCCUUGGUAAGGAAGAGGUCACCGGUUCGAAUCCGGUCGUGGGCU
rnacentral:tRNA from 1 species